UACGUAAGGGGCAAGCGUUAUCCGGAUUUACUGGGUGUAAAGGGAGCGUAGGCGGCAUUGCAAGUCUGAUGUGAAAGGCAGGGGCUCAACCCCUGGACUGCAUUGGAAACUGUAAGGCUAGAUUGCAGGAGAGGUAAGUGGAAUUCCUAGUGUAGCGGUGAAAUGCGUAGAUAUUAGGAGGAACACCGGUGGCGAAGGCGGCUUACUGGACUGUAAAUGACGCUGAGGCUCGAAAGCGUGGGGAGCAAACAGG
rnacentral:rRNA from 1 species